rnacentral:misc_RNA from 1 species
UACAGAGGGUGCGAGCGUUGUCCGGAAUCACUGGGCGUAAAGGGCGCGUAGGUGGCUUGGUUAGCGUGUGGUGAAAGCCCGGGGCUCAACCCCGGGUCUGCCGUGCGAACUGCCAAGCUCGAGCAGAGUAGAGGCAGGUGGAAUUUCGGGUGUAGCGGUGGAAUGCGUAGAUAUCCGAAAGAACACCAGUGGCGAAGGCGGCCUGCUGGGCUCUUGCUGACACUGAGGCGCGACAGCGUGGGGAGCAAACAGG